GUCUGUGAUAAGGUGACUGACGAAGCGAACCAGCGUGCUGAUAAACCGUUAAUGGAUAGAGGGAACUUCAGGAUGUUUUACAGCAGCGGAUCAUUGGGUUCCUGCCGGACCAGAGCAAGAAGGAUCCGGAGAAACACACUCGCUUCUUUGACGACUACGGGCUGUUUCUGCACGAGGGCAUCGUGACCACAGUAGAGCAGAGCGUCAAGAGGAAGACAUUGCUUUGAGUCAUCAGCACUUCCUGCGGGACAGCAGACCAGCCUGAUGGAGUACACCUCUCGGAUGAAGGCAGGAACGAGGAACAUUUACUAUCUGUGUGCACUGAAUCACCACCUGGCUGAACACUCGACAUGCUUUGAGUCCUUGAAACAGAAAGAUAUGGAGAUUUCCGACAAUGCCAUAAUCACCGCUGGCCUGAACCAGGACUCUCGUCCAAUGAUCUUGUGGCUCAGUCAGCUCCUCUCUCAAGCUCUGGAGAAACACUGACACCUGUGCUGGAGUUCAGCCUGACGGACUUGUUGUGCCUUUAUUAGAGCCAUGCAUCGAUGCACAAAGGGGACUUCCCACAUCACAGAGGUCAUCAUUGCACUUUAAACACAAACAAACAUUGUUUAUAUGAAGACUUGAGAAUCGUUGUGCAGGUGUGACAUUGUGGUUUUGUUGGGAGUCAUGUUUUACAGCUGAUAUGACUGAGAUUUGUCUGUCCAUCCAUUGUAAAACAAUACAUUAAUCAAUUCAGUAGUUUGUGUUGCUAUAGUUGCACUCCUGAAUUUACAUGGAAAGAUGCAAGAUAAUGAAUGAUACCAGGGAAAACAUUUUCUGUUAAAUAUUAAGGUCUUGUCUUUUUUUUCCUCUUUGAACUGAUUCACAUUCAGUCUAUUGUUUCAUUUUUUCAUGUGUGAA